rnacentral:rRNA from 2 species
GACAAGGCGGCCGUGCUAUACAUGCAAGUCGAGCGGACAGAUGGGAGCUUGCUCCCUGAUGUUAGCGGCGGACGGGUGAGUAACACGUGGGUAACCUGCCUGUAAGACUGGGAUAACUCCGGGAAACCGGGGCUAAUACCGGAUGGUUGUUUGAACCGCAUGGUUCAGACAUAAAAGGUGGCUUCGGCUACCACUUACAGAUGGACCCGCGGCGCAUUAGCUAGUUGGUGAGGUAACGGCUCACCAAGGCGACGAUGCGUAGCCGACCUGAGAGGGUGAUCGGCCCCACACCUGGGAACUGAGGAACACGRCCCAGACUCCUACGGGAGGCAGCAGUAGGGAAUCUUCCGCAAUGGACGAAAGUUCUGACGGAGCAACGCCGCGUGAGUGAUGAAGGUUUUCGGAUCGUAAAGCUCUGUUGUUAGGGAAGAACAAGUGCCGUUCAAAUAGGGCGGCACCUUGACGGUACCUAACCAGAAAGCCACGGCUAACUACGUGCCAGCAGCCGCGGUAAUACGUAGGUGGCAAGCGUUGUCCGGAAUUAUUGGGCGUAAAGGGCUCGCAGGCGGUUUCUUAAGUCUGAUGUGAAAGCCCCCGGCUCAACCGGGGAGGGUCAUUGGAAACUGGGGAACUUGAGUGCAGAAGAGGAGAGUGGAAUUCCACGUGUAGCGGUGAAAUGCGUAGAGAUGUGGAGGAACACCAGUGGCGAAGGCGACUCUCUGGUCUGUAACUGACGCUGAGGAGCGAAAGCGUGGGGAGCGAACAGGAUUAGAUACCCUGGUAGUCCACGCCGUAAACGAUGAGUGCUAAGUGUUAGGGGGUUUCCGCCCCUUAGUGCUGCAGCUAACGCAUUAAGCACUCCGCCUGGGGAGUACGGUCGCAAGACUGAAACUCAAAGGAAUUGACGGGGGCCCGCACAAGCGGUGGAGCAUGUGGUUUAAUUCGAAGCAACGCGAAGAACCUUACCAGGUCUUGACAUCCUCUGACAAUCCUAGAGAUAGGACGUCCCCUUCGGGGGCAGAGUGACAGGUGGUGCAUGSUUGUCGUCAGCUCGUGUCGUGAGAUGUUGGGUUAAGUCCCGCAACGAGCGCAACCCUUGAUCUUAGUUGCCAGCAUUCAGUUGGGCACUCUARGGUGACUGCCGGUGACAAACCGGARGAAGGUGGGRAUGACGUCAAAUCAUCAUGCCCCUUAUGACCUGGGCUAMMCACCGUGCCUACAWKGGACMGAACAAAGGGCAGCGAAACCGCGAGGUUAAGCCAAUCCCACAAAUCUGUUCUCAGUUCGGAUCGCAGUCUGCAACUCGACUGCGUGAAGCUGGAAUCGCUAGUAAUCGCGGAUCAGCAUGCCGCGGUGAAUACGUUCCCGGGCCUUGUACACACCGCCCGUCACACCACGAGAGUUUGUAACACCCGAAGUCGGUGAGGUAACCUUUUAGGAGCCAGCCGCCGAAGGUGGGACAGAUGAUUGGGGUGAAGUCGUAACAAGUAGCCAUGAGG